GCUUUGUAGCUCAGUGGUAGAGCAGUUGACUCAUAAUCAAUCGGGCGCGGGUUCGACUCCCGUCUAAGCACCA
rnacentral:tRNA from 1 species